GGUUGCGAUCAUACCAGCACUAAUGCAUCGGAUCCCAUCAGAACUCCGCAGUUAAGCGUGCUUGGGGGAGAGUAGUACUAGGAUGGGUGACCCCCUGGGAAGUCCUCGUGUUGCAACCCC
rnacentral:rRNA from 1 species